rnacentral:rRNA from 1 species
UGGGGAACUUUGGACAAUGGACGCAAGUCUGAUCCAGCCAUGCCGCGUGCGGGAAGAAGGCCUUCGGGUUGUAAACCGCUUUUGUCAGGGAAGAAACGAGUUUCUCUAAUACAGAGACUUAAUGACGGUACCUGAAGAAUAAGCACCGGCUAACUACGUGCCAGCAGCCGCGGUAAUACGUAGGGUGCAAGCGUUAAUCGGAAUUACUGGGCGUAAAGCGUGCGCAGGCGGUUAUGCAAGACAGAGGUGAAAUCCCCGGGCUCAACCUGGGAACUGCCUUUGUGACUGCAUAGCUAGAGUACGGUAGAGGGGGAUGGAAUUCCACGUGUAGCAGUGAAAUGCGUAGAUAUGCGGAGGAACACCGAUGGCGAAGGCAAUCCCCUGGACCUGUACUGACGCUCAUGCACGAAAGCGUGGGGAGCAAACA